rnacentral:misc_RNA from 1 species
ACACACCCCCACAAGGUGUAAUGACCCAGUGUGGCAACCGUGAGACUGGGAGGUACGUUUUUAAGAUGUAAUGUAACAUGAGGGACCGAGCGUCAUACCUACGAUCUUCAGACCGCCGCUCUUCGGCAGUACUCUCAUCUCCUUCACUCAUCAUAUAGAAAGGGGUCUAACAGUCCUGACAUGACUGUUUAAAUAAAA